rnacentral:misc_RNA from 1 species
CAAGCGAUACGUGUUCUCUGUGAUACGCAUUGUUUUACCCCUUCAGCGUACGAUUCCUGUUGCUUCCGUGGGAGUGACUCCACGGGAGGGUGGUCUCAAAUCAAUUUUAACCUCAUGUGUGUGGUCUGUACGUAACAGAGCAAAAGUCA